GGGGCAGGGAGCGGGCUUUCAGUCAAGAGCAACAGGAAGUUCAGUAAACACCCACGCCUGGAAGCCAUGCCUUUCCAGGUCUCUGGAGACAGGAUGACUCAGACCCAUGUGAGGUUCCCGGUUCCCCGAAACCCCCAGAUUCCUGAGAACAAUGCUUCACUCAUGUUUGUGUCCGUGCCUGGCACAGCCCCGGCCUUGCUGAAGAGGGCAUGCCCCCUGCCGGGCCCCGGCUGGUUCAAGCCCACAGCGGGGAGGAGGGCCAGCCCAGGCAAAGGCUCUAGGUACAUUCCUCCUGGGAGGCCCCUGGUGCCAAUGAUCAGGAAAAGAUGGAAACUAUCUGUCUUGGCUGUGAUGAAAGGCGUCAGUGUGUAAGCAGAUACGGUCUCAGUAAUUGAUGAUCUUAAGGGAACAAAAGAACGCAGAAACAAACGACUGUAAUCAGACAAGAGAAGUAACAACAGCAAAAAUAAUGUUCCAGUUGUAAAGACUCCCGGUUCUGUUUCAAUGGUGACGAUUAGCCUGAAGCCGCAACCACCAGACCUACCGGAAUCUAAGGGGUGAAGAUGACCUUUUCUGACCCUCCUGACUUCAAUCAAAUGAACCCAGGACUCUGCGGGGAGACACUGCUUUGGAGAAGAUCCCCAGUGUUCCCCUUACUUGCAGCCAGAAAUAAACCCUUCCUUUCCGGA